rnacentral:lncRNA from 1 species
UGUCAUGCACCUCCUCUCAGUGCUCCUCCCUCGUGGAUGCCACUCUCAACAACCCCUUGUGUGAAACUUCCUCUAAUGUGUGCGUUUACACGGCCAGCUAUGGCGAUUCGUCUUACUCCAUGGGCUACUUGAGUCAAGACCUACUGACCUUGGCCCCAUCUCAGACCCUGCCUGGUUUCGUGUAUGGGUGUGGGCAAGACAGCGAAGGAUUGUUCGGGCGAGCAGCUGGUAUUCUUGGGCUGGGCCGUAACAAGCUGUCCAUGCUUGGCCAGGUGUCCUCCAAAUUCGGAUAUGCCUUCUCUUACUGUCUUCCCACCAGAGGAGGCGGAGGCUUCUUGUCCAUAGGAAAGGCUUCGCUGGCGGGAUCAGCCUACAAGUUCACCCCAAUGACGACAGAUCCUGGGAACCCCAGCUUAUACUUCUUAAGGUUAACGGCUAUCACAGUGGGAGGCAGGGCCCUGGGAGUAGCUGCAGCCCAGUACAGAGUCCCCACCAUCAUAGACUCUGGAACAGUAAUCACCCGUCUUCCUAUGUCCGUAUACACCCCUUUCCAGCAGGCGUUUGUGAAGAUCAUGUCCAGUAAGUACGCACGGGCACCGGGAUUUUCCAUACUGGAUACUUGUUUCAAGGGUAAUCUCAAGGACAUGCAGUCAGUCCCGGAGGUCCGACUGAUAUUCCAGGGAGGUGCUGACCUCAAUCUCAGGCCUGUCAACGUCCUCCUACAAGUUGAUGAGGGUCUUACCUGCUUGGCGUUCGCUGGAAACAAUGGAGUGGCCAUAAUUGGGAACCAUCAACAGCAGACAUUUAAGGUUGCUCAUGACAUCUCCACUGCAAGAAUUGGGUUUGCCACUGGUGGCUGCAAUUGAUUGAAAUCUAUAUUUAUAUAUAUGAAUGGGUACACACAUAAAAACAGGAGUUCAACCAUAGAUACCCUUGUCUAUGUGGUACAUAUCCUUAUAAUUCAGAAUCCCAUAAGAAAGAAGUGUAUAUACCAGUAUUGUGAUUAGAGCCUGCCCUGCUUAAUUAAAUAGAAUCUCAUUCUGCUUGGAUUGUACAUAUGAAGGGAUAGAUUGUAUGUUGAUCAAUAUAUGUGAAAUAAAAUCUGCCCCAGCGUGUAUCUCUUCUUUGUUUCAC